GCUUGGCGUCUUCCUUCUCUUCCUCGCGCUUCCUCUCUCCGCUGAUCACCAGCACAUUGUCGUCCUCCACCUGAACCUUGAUGUCGCCGGAUUUCAGCCCCGGCAUGUCGACGAUGAAGGUGAAGGAAUUCGGGUACUCCUUGACGUCCACCGGCGUAGCCGCCAUGGCCUUGGCGUCGCGGACGUAGGUGCGAGUGGGUGCGCUGACGGACUUCUCGGAGUCGUCGGCGGCGUCGAGCUUGUGUUGGAGGGCAGAGAAGAGUGGAGAAUCGAAGCCCAUCAUCCUCAAAUCCAUGUUGGGUUUCAGAGAUUUGUCGUGUCAGAUUGUGAAUAACUGCAAGUGCAACUGCGAAUGUGGAAGUGCCUGAAUGUUGGAGGAAAUCGUAGGUAGUGGUGUGGUUUUUAUAGAAGACAGAGUUGGGAAACAGAGGAAGGUUCUGGAAAGAACAAGAAAGAGGAGAAUUGGGAGUUUGGCUCUGCUGAUUUUGCUCCAAGGGUUCCAGAAACUUGUGGAAGUUUCUUAAAAAUGACGAAAAUACCCCUAUCUUUGUUCAUACCUUUUAUGGAAGUUUUAUUUCAACUUACCCAAUGAUUUACAAAUCUUCUAAAAAUUAUGAUUUUGAUCUAUGCUUAUUUUAGAUACCAAUGCAAAUACGAUCUAAGAUUCACCUCAAUACAAAUUUAUUUAUCAAAAUUUAAAUUUAAAACACCAGAGAUUAAAUUUAAUCAAUACAAAUUCAAUCUCCUACAAAAAAAAAAAAAAAAAAAAAAAAAAAAAAGGACCUUAUGAUAUAGUUGUCAACCAGAGGAAACACCACCUUACUAGCUUUUUUACUUGCCAUGAAAUCUUAAAAUUUUUGCAGGAAAAAAAUGAAAACAGACCAAGGAAAAGAAAAGGUAGACUUUAAUCCUUUAUUGACGGUACUGAAAAUUCAGAACUGCACAUUGCAGUGUAAUGAAGAGAUCACCAUCUUCAUCACGCCUAGCAAUUGACCAAGAUCAAACCCAAACAAAAGCCACCUGGGCACACCCACAAUACCAUAUUGUUUGCUAUUAAAAACCCAGAAAAACAUUCCCAAAACCCUCAAUAUUUCAAGCAAUUUUGACCUCAAUUGUCUUGGGCUUCUUGGGCUCCGGCGGUGGCAGCUUCUCAACAGUGACGGUCAGCACCCCAUCUUGACAAACCGCGGAGAUCUUAUCAGUAUUCGCAUUCUCCGGCAGUACAAACUUCCUCAUAAACUUCCCCACCCUCCUCUCCAUUCUCACGUACUUGGCGCCUUCUUUCUCCUCCUCACGCUUCCUCUCGCCGCUGAUCAUCAGCACAUUGUCGUCCUCCACCUGAACCUUGAUGUCGCCGGAUUUCAGCCCCGGCAUGUCGAUGAUGAAGGAGUAGGCAUUCGGGUACUCCUUGACGUCCGCCGGUGUCGCAGCCAUGGCCUUGGCGUCGCGGACGUAGGUGCGAGUGGGAGCGUUGAGAGAUUUAUCAGAAUCUUCAACGGCGUCGAGCAUGUGUUGCAGGGUUGAGAAUAGUGGAGAAUCAAAAUCCAUGACCCUCAAAUCCAUCCCGCUUUGCAGCGAUUAGUCUGUUAGAUUGGCGACGAUUUGUAAAUGAAAAUGCAGAACUGAUUUUCUGAUGACGAAACCUCGGCCGUGGUGUGGUUUUUAUAGGUGGUGGGUUUGGCUUUGGGAAUAAGAGGAAGUUUCUCGAAGAAGGGAGAAGAGGAACAUCGGUAACUAGCUUCUGGAAGGAUCUAUGGACUUUCUUAGAAGUUACAACGGUAUAAGAAGUUGCUGGAAUGUUCUUUAUUAUUGACUAAAAUGCCCUUCUUUUUUCUUUGUCUUUUUUUGAUAUGUAUGAGAAAUUAAUACAAGAUAUUUUUAUUAGGAGAAAGUCAUAUUUUGUAUGUCAAAAAAAAUUAUUGAUUAUUUAUGUAAGUCAUAUUAUUUUAUCCUUUUAAAUCAAAUAAGUCUAAUAAUUAAUUGGUAAGCAAAAUAAGUCAAAUAAUUUUUGGCUCUCAAAAGGGAUCUAGGCUGAUGUAAAAUCUAUGAUCAAGGAGUUUCGGGCUACAGGAUCUGAAAUUUUAGUUAAUGAAAAUGCAACAAUAAAAAUAGGGAAACUACAUUCUGACUUGGAAGUCAUCUGCUACAGGAUCCAAAAGCCAAUGACCAUCAGAAACACCAAACCCAACCCAAAAUCACAUAAAAUCCAAGAUAUUAACACAAGCUCCCAUCCAUGGCCGCAAAUUUCCAAACCCCAAAUGUUCAAGCAAACUUCACCUCAAUGGUCUUGGGCUUCUUAGGCUCCGGCGGUGGUAGCUUCUUAACGGUGACGGUCCACACCCUAUCUUGACAAACCGCAGAAUCCUAUCAGUAUCCUCAUUCUCCGGAAAAACAACCUUCCGCGUACCUUCCUCUCCAUCCUCGCGUAUUUGGCGCCUCCCUCUCUCCGCUGAUCACCAGCACGUUGUCGUUCUCAACUUGAACCUUGACGUCCGCCGGGGUCGCAGCCAUGGCCUUGGCGUCGCGUACGUGGGUGCGGGUUGGAGCGCUGACAGAGUUGUCGGAGACAAGUCAUGACCAGCAGAGUAUUUCCCGAGGGGGCGCCGCCUGACACCAUAACAAGCAUUGUGAAGUUCCUCAAGUUUCACAGUUUCACUUGAUAAGAGCUCCUUCCCGAGAAAAAGCGGACUCCAUAAUCACCGAUCAGAGCACGCCAAGGAGAAACUAUAAAGCCAGACUAGGGAUAAGCAAGAGAUAGAUGAAAAAAGGGAGGAGAGCAAAACACUUCACGAUAUCAGCCUGCUGGUUCCAAUGAGGCUGGCCGACACUUCCCAGCAAUUCAUUAGGAUCUUGUGGUCUCAAAAGGUUCUUGUACCAGCAAUACUUAAAACUACAAACUCAUAAAGAAUCAUAGCUUUUGUGUAGAAAAGCAAAUGAUUGAUCAAAAUCAAACCCAGACCAAAUUCACGCAAAUCCCAAUUACACAUGCUUAUCAGGAAUUACCCACUCAAAACCACAAAGAUUUAAGCCAUAUUCACCUCAGUGAUCUUGGGUUUCUUGGGCCCCGGCGGCGGCAGCUUCUGCACGGUGACGGUCAAAACCCCAUCCUGACAUUUCGCAUCGAUCUGAUGAGUGUGCGCAUUCCCUGCAACGCAAACUUCCUCAUAAACUUUCCCAUCCUCCCCUCCAUUCUCACGUAGUACUUGGCGCCUUCCUUCUCCUCCUCGCGCUUCCUCUCUCCGCUGAUCACCAGCACAUUGUCGUCCUCCACCUGAACCUUGAUGUCUCCGGGCUUCAUCCCCGGCAUGUCGACAAUGGAGGUGUAGAAGUUCGGGUACUCCUUGACAUCCGCCGGUGUCACGGAGUCGUCCGCGGGCGUCGCGACCCGAACACCGGUGUCGCGGCCUAGCCUUAGCCUUGCGAGCGUUGGUCCUAGUGGGAUUGCUGACGAGUUCGGCAGAGGGGGUUAGGAAGGGUGGCGAAUCCAAGGCUCUUAUUCUCAAAUCCAUGUUGGGUUUCAGAGAUUUGGUGACGUGAAACUGGAAACAACCGCUAAUGCGAAGCGAAUGUUAAUGUCGAAGAAGGCGCAAAUGCUCCAGACAGAAUCAGAAGUAUAAUUUUGGUCAUUUCAAUUACCAAAAUACCCCUCAGCUUCUGGAGGCGUGUCCUCCUUCAAAGGCAGCUUGACAACAAAUCAUGAGCCCUUCUUCGAAGUCAAUAAAACGUUUUUACAAGUUUAGAUAAUUUUAUUUCAAAAGGUUAAUAAGGCAUUUGGUAAAAUUCAGUAUUUAAUAUUUAAUGAUUUAAUGUAAUUUUUCAAUUUAAUUAUGUUUAAAUUAUUAAGUAAUAAUAAUUUAUUAAGUUGAUUUAAUAAGUCAUUUUAAGUUUUAAGUUACAAUGUCAAGUUCCCUGGCCAAAAUUCAAUCACCCAAAGAAAAAACAUAAUCAAACUCUCAGCCAGAGGAAACACCAGCAAAUCUUCUGUUUGGUAACGUCCAAUGCUUUUUUUCCUGCCUUCAGAGUUCAGAUCUUAAAAAUAUAUCUGAAAAAAAUAAAAAGGAGGAAAGGAAGAGUAAAGGGUAACUUCAUUGAUAGUACACAACACUACACAUUAGACUAUUCUUGAGAAAUCACCUACUUCAUCACGACAUCGCCAGCAGCCAUUGACCCAAAAUCAAACCCAAACAAAGCCUCCUGUGCCAGACCCACUUUACCACAUUAUUUCCUACUAAACAAAACCCUCCCAAAAUCCCCAAUAUUUCAAGCAAUUUUGACCUCAACGGUCUUGGGCUUCUUGGGCUCCGGCGGUGGCAGCUUCUCAACGGUGACGGUCAACACCCCAUCUUGACAAACGGCAGAUAUCUUAUCAGUAUUCGCAUUCUCUGGCAACACAAACUUCCUCAUAAACUUCCCCACCCUCCUCUCCAUUCUCACGUACUUGGCGCCUUCCUUCUCCUCCUCCCGCUUCCUCUCUCCGCUGAUCACCAGCACAUUGUCGUCCUCCACCUGAACCUUGAUGUCGCCGGACUUCAGCCCCGGCAUGUCGAUGAUGAAGGCGUAGGAAUUCGGGUAUUCCUUGACGUCAGCCGGAGUCGCAGCCAUGGCCUUGGCGUCGCGGACAUAGGUGCGGGUUGGAGUGUUGAGAGACUUGUCGGAAUCGUCGCCGGUGUCGAUCAUGUUUUGUAGAGUUGAGAAGAAUGGACAAUCAAAACCCACGAUCCUCAAAUCCAUUUUGCUGUUUAGCAAUUAGUUUGUGAGAUUUGCGAAGAUGAGUAACUGGAAGUGUUAGAAUUGAUUUUCCGAUGAGGAAUUCGCGGGUGGUUGUGUGGUUUUUAUAGGUGUUGGGUUUGGCUUUGGGAAGCAGGGGAAGUUUCGGGAAGAAAGGAGAAGAGAGGCAUUGGUAGGUUCUGGAAGGUUCUAUGAUUCUCUUGCAAGUUAGAACGGUAAAAAGAAGUUGCUGGAAGAUUCUUGCGUAUAGACUAAAAUGCCCUUUUGCCCCUCAUUCUGCAAAAUACUCUAUAGAUGAGUUGAAUUCUAUAGUAAUUAAGAAAAUAAUCUAACUUUACUCCGGAAAAACCCCAAAACGCUGAGGUCUUUUUAAUAAAUUUAGACAUCAUUACCUCAAAGGUCAAAAAACCAUCUUGACAUAUUAGAGAUCCUAAAGUAUUUGCAUUCUCUGACAAUCGAAACUUCUUCAUAAACUUGCCUAACCUCCUCUCUGUUCUCACAUACUUGGCGCCUUCCUUCUCUUCCUCGAGCUUCCUCUCUUCGUUGAUCACCAGCACAUUGUCAUCCUCCAUCGGGACUUUGAUGUUAUCGGGCUUCAGCCUUAAUUGUGACAUCCCACAUUGGAUAUGGGAGAAGAUUUCUAGCGCUAUAUAAGUAUGAACUUCUCUUAACCCUGUAGACGUGUUUUAAAGUCGUAAGGGUCUCUUUGAGUCUAAAACGGAUAAUAUCUACACGGUUGGGAACGAGUCGUUACAAAUGGUAUCAGAACCAGACUCUCAACCUCGAUGUGUGGUUUGUUUGAUCCCGUAAAUGUGUUUGUUUGUUUGGCCCCACAAUCCCAUGGGACACAACAAGGACGUUGUGUCUGCAUGAAGAGCGUUUGUAACAUCUCACAUUGGAUAGAGGGGAAAGUUUUUGGCACUAUAUAAGUAUGAAAGACCUCUUUAGGUCUAAAACGAAUAAUAUCUACACAGUUGGUACCAGGAGGGCAACCUUAUCGUCCUUAAGUCUUGGACUUGGGUUCGAAUCCUGGGGAGGCCACUCUGUGACGCCCUUGACUGGCACAGAGCCAAAUAUACUCAAAACAAAUGACGUCCCAACACUCUCCUUUCUUACGUACUUGGAACCUUCCUUCUCCUCCUCCCGCUUCCUCUCUCCGCUGAUCACCAGCACAUUGCCGUCCUCCACCUGAACCUUGAUGUCGCCGGACCUCAGCCCCGGCAUGUCGACGAUGAAGGUGUAGGAAUUCGGGUACUCCUUGACGUCAGCCGGCGUCGCCGCCAUGGCCUUGGCGUCCCGGACGUAGGUGCGGGUGGGAGCGUUGAGAGACUUGUCGGAAUCGUCGCCGGCGUCAAGCAUGUGUUGGAGGGUUGAGAAGAGUGGAGAAUCAAAACCCAUGACCCUCAAAUCCAUUUUGCUUUUCAGCGAUUAGUCUCUGAGAUCUGCUAAGAUUUGUAAAUGAAAAUGUUGGAAUUGAUUUUCUGAUGAGGAAUUCAUGCCGGUGGUGUGGUUCUUAUAGGUGGUGGGUUUGGGUUUGGAAGCAGAGGAAGUUUCUGGAAGAAGAGAGAAGAGCAACACUGGUAGCUUCUGGAAGUUUUAUGGACCUUCUUACAAGUUAAAACGGAAAAAUUCAAAUUGACUAAAGUGCCCUUCUGUCUCUAUGGCUACAAAAUCCCCUUACGUGGACGCCUUUGAAUGUUGCUGUAAUAAGACAACAAUUUAAUUUUACUCCUCCGAAAGUCAGGUAUUUGUUUUUUGGGAGAAUUACGUUUGGAGGUAGAUGGACAUUCAAAUUAACAAAAGGUCCAUGUAAUUCUUCAAAUUGAGCCUAAGACCCAAUAAAAGUAUGAAAAUUGAGUUGAAGGAUAUCAUCUUUCAGUAUUUCCAAAAAUACCCUUUAUUGAUUUUGAGAAAAAAAAUUAAUAUUUUUUAAAAAUACUUUUAUGUAAUUUAAUAUUUUUAAAAAUAAUUUAUUUAAUUUAAUAUUUUUAAAAAAUAAAUUUAUUUAAUUUAAUAUUUAAAAAAAAUAAAUUUAUUUAAUUUAAUAUUUAAAAAAAAUAAAUUUAUUUAAUUUAAUAUUUUAGAAAAAAUUUAAUUUAAUAUUUUUUUAAAUACUUUAAUUUAAUUUAAUAUUUUUGAAAAAAAAAUCAUUUAAUUUAAAAUUUUUGAAAACUACUUUUAUUUAAUUUAGUAUUUUUGAAGAAAAAUUAUUAAAAAAAAAUUAUUUAACUUAAUUUUAUAAAAUAUUUUAUAUGUGUUCUUAAAGGGUAUAUUUGUCCGUUACUAUUUCAUAUCCUUCAACUCAAUUUGAAGAGUUAUAUGGACCUUUUGUUAAUUUAGGAUCCCAUCUAACCCCAAAACAUAAUUCUCCCUUGUUUUUUUUUAUUGAAAAUAAUUUAUUUUUGAAUGGUUUGUUUUUUCUUUUUCUUAUUUACGAUUUAUUAUAAAUUUUUUAUUGGAUAAAAAAAACUAAAAUAUUUAAUUUUUUCUAAACUUAAUAAUUAAUACUAUUAAAUAUUAAAAUUUUAUUUAUAAUUAAGUAAAAAAAACCAACACUACUGUAAACCCCCAUUUGGGCUCCUCUUCCAUGCAUUUUUUUUUACCAGGUGUCACAAUCCCAAGAAAGCUGGCAGCCAUUUUGGAAGAGUGGGGGCUGGUUUCUGGAGGAGCCGAGCAUGUUGGGACGUGUGGCCAUGGACACCACCACCUUGCCAUGGUGGUGGUUGAGGAUGGAGACUGGCUGAUGGUUGGAACAGGGAAAGACUUGCAAGAGGGGAAAAACAGAGGGCAGGUGAAGGCUGGCAGGGGGUCUUCAUUUUUUUGAGGAGAGGCGAACGGGAGAGGGGAGAGACCGGAGAGAGAAGAAACAGAGGAACGAGAGGGAGUUUGAGGGGAAAAACGAGUGGGGAUCGUUUUGGAGAUAGAUUAAGAGCUAGAAACCAAGCAUAACAAUGCUUGAAGGGAGUUGUCCAGGUACGAUUACUAAAGCUCCAUGUUUUCUCCUAUCUUCAUAUUGUUUCCUUUUGGUUUCUGCAUAUUAUUUUGUUGGUUGAAUCUGAAUAUAAAAAACCAUCAUGUUAUUGUUGAGCCUGAGAUUGUUUUUAUGCUUCCACUGUUUGGGUUAUGCUCUGGUUUCUUUGUCUCUGUUUUAUACCAGAUUUGCAACAUUUGGAGGUAUUAUUUACAUUCCUAUUUUGGACCCCAUUUUGAGAUUUCUAUACAUUGGCUCUCAAGUUCACUGGUAACUCAUGAAGUAAAGCUUCACUUGUUGACCAGUGAUUUAUGUUUAUGUCAUGUUUCUAUGAUUGUUAUUUUUGCUGUGAUUUUCCUCUGUUCGUUGACUGUCCAUGGUGUCCAUCAAGUGGUGCACUUCCACCUAGGGCUUCUCUGAUCUGUUGGAUAACAUACCAUUAAUUCGAGGAGCUGUGAAAAGAAAGGAAAUUUGAAUCAAUUGCAAAAUGCUUUGAGAAGGCUAGUUACAGUUGGGUUGAAGUUACUGUUGGGGAUAAAUGUAUGCCCAAGAUCCAAUCUAUCAUGUAAUCAACUUUAGUUUUAAUAAGGUAUUAAUUCUUUAUUUCAUUAUCAUAUCUGUUUAAAAUAGUUUAUAUGAUAAGGUCCUUGAUUAAAAUUUGAAAAAUUGUUAUCAUGAUAGAGAUUAUGAUAAUGAGAAGCAAUUCUUUUAAUAAUUUUAAUCUAAACUGUUCUUGAUCAUAGGAUUAUUGUCAACAGGACAUCAAUAAUCCAGAUAGAUCAAUAUAUAUGUGAUGGUCUUUAUUGGAUAAAGAUUGAUAUAUCUCAUUUGUUAAAUUACAUAUAUAGAUGAUGCACAUGUAGAUGUGAUCAUUGAACUGACUCAACUGAGAAUUUCUAAUGGUUAUCUUUACCUUAAAUUGUCAAUAGGAAUUUCUCAAGAAGAAAUAUAAUAGUUUUCUUUGACCUGAGAUUAUCAAAGUAAUUAACAAGUUAUUUAUUAUAUUUUAAUCCCGGACACCUAAUGCCUUAGGGCACUAGUUGAAUGGAUAUUGGAUAUAAUUAAAUACUUGUAGAAUUAAUGAUUAAUCAAGAAGGAAUCCAUCAACUCGUGGUAAUGAGUUUGAGCUCUAUGAUAAAAAUAAGACCUUGGCCAAGGCAAUUGAAUGAAUGAAGAAAUGAGUUUCUUAAGUCAUUCACUAANNNNNNNNNNNNNNNNNNNNNNNNNNNNNNNNNNNNNNNNNNNNNNNNNNNNNNNNNNNNNNNNNNNNNNNNNNNNNNNNNNNNNNNNNNNNNNNNNNNNUAGCACCAAGAAUAUAAUUAAUAUAUAGAUAAAAAAAAUAAAAUAUUUUUCUUUGGACGUGGAAGUUAGUCCACGAGAAUGUUUGCUAAACAUUUGCAAACAUAUGGGUACAUGCAGCAACUUACAGGAGGGAUGUGGGUUUUGUUUUUAACUUACAAGACUUGGUCAAAGUGUUUUUCAAAUGCUAUUGAAAAUAGCAAAAGAAAAACAAAUGGACCAAUAGAAUCUCUUAGUAGCCCAAAAAAGGAGGACACGAUAGAGAUAGAUUAAGUGAUAAAAUCAAAAAUCAAAUUAGUUGAGUUAUCUUAUCACUUAAAACAGAAGUUGUAUCGGAUAUGCUAUAUAACAUAUAUACACAAUCUGAAUAAGGAUCGAUCUAUCUUUUUCCUCCUUGUUUUUUACGCCAAAGAAAUAAAAAGUGUUGUUCUAUUUUUUUUAAGUUCCGCGUAUCAAAGGGUUGAUAGCAAAGAUUAAUUUCGGUGUGGAUACACGUAGAGUCUUCAUACAAUUGGAGAAAAUUUUAUGCUUGAAGAACUGAUAUCCAGGUUAUUAUUUUAAAUUUUUGAUAGCUGCAGUAUAUAUUUUGAAUGCAAAAUAGAUCAAUUUUCCGCUGUAUGUGUUAUAAAUUUAUUUUAUAACCUUUCAGUUACAGGGCAUGUAAGUUGCUUCAUGUCAAGGAAUCAUAAAAUCCAAUUCCUUUUAAAUUUAAUUUCCAAAAUUCCAUUUCCUAAAUUUAAUUUUUAGAACUCUAAUAUCUUUCAAAUUUAAUUUCCGGAAUUCCGAUUUCCUUCAAAUUUAAUUGCCAAAAUUCAAAAUUUUCAAUUUAAUUUCUAAAAUUUCAUUUCUUUCAAAUUUAACUUCCAAAAUUCUGAUUUCUUUCAAACUUAAUUUCCAAAAUCCAAUUUCUUUUAAAUUUAAUUUCCAAAAUUCCAUUUCCUAAAUUAAUUUUUUUUAAAACUCCAAUUUCUUUCAAAUUUAAUUUCCGGAAUUCUGAUUUCCUUCAAAUUUAAUUUCCAAAAUUAUGAUUUCUUUCAAAUUUAAUUUCCAAAAUCCAAUUUCUUUUAAAUUUAAUUUUCAAAAUUCCAUUUCCUAAAUUUAAUUUUUAAAACUCCAAUUUCUUUGGAAUUUAAUUUCCAAAAUUCUGAUUUCUUUCAAAUUUAAUUUCUAAAAUUUCAACUCUUAAGUUUAAUUUCCAAAAUUCUAUUUCCUAAAUUUAAUUCUCAAAAUUCCAAUUUCUUUUAAAUUUAAUAUCCAAAAUUCUAAUUCUUAAAUUUAGUUCCCAAGGCUUGAAUUUUCAAAUAAUUUUCGAGACUCCAAUUUUCAAAUAAAUUUCAAAAAUCCAGUUUUCUCUCGAACAAUUUUAAUUCCACUAUGGUUUUCAAAUGAUAUUUUGUUUCUCUUGAUUCUAUAUAAGCAAGAAUGAAUUUUCAUAAUUCUAGAAUAAUGGAAUUUGCGAGACUAAUUCGUGCAAGAUAAACUGGGCUUUGGUGGGGGCCCUACAUAGGAGUUUUAUUGUCAACUGUUAUACUUAAUGAAUAUUGUCUGAUCUUUGUCUUGUUGUUUGAUAUGCAUGCGAUAUAUUUUGUAUUCAUUAUUGUGCACUAAUCCCAUUUCAUGAUAGUGCAUUAUUACUUGCUGCCAAGGUACGAUCUCACUCCCACUUUAUUUAUUUCUAUGCAUGAUUCGUUUUAUUAUUCGAUUAUUUCACUGGUAUUUAUUGAUUUCCUAAUUAAUUAUUAUAUUUGCUUCACCUUGAUUAAUAGAGACCCAUUUUUUGGGGCUUAGAGGGGUGCUACGGUCUUUACCGUACUCUUCCCAAUAAGUAACCUAACCCCCGAACCUAGACCCUGUUUUUCACAGACCUGGUUUUUUUCUUCAGAAAUUAUAUUUAGGGUUUUUCUUUUUUAUUUUGUUUUUCCCUUAAAAAAUAAAACAAAAAUAAGUAGCGACUCCAAGUUUUUUCAAAAAAUCAAAUUUUCACAAAAUGAAUAAAAAGUGAGUUUCACCAUCGAGUGGGAACACAUUGAGCAAAAUGCGGGGUCCACAACUACUCAUUUAACUUUUUCAUUAAAUUGGCAUAAAUAAAAUAAUAUCACACUAUAAAGUAUACAAAUCUGAAAAUAUUUACUUAGUAAAAUUUUAAAUUUAUUGUUAAUAGUUGUUCCAUAAUAUUAAUCAUUUUAAAAUAAACUUAAACUUUCAUUAGUUAAAUUCUUAAUUUUUAUAAAUAGAAUAAUUUGAGCAUGUAUUUUCAUUAAAUAUGGUUGUCUUAAUUACUAAUUUUAAUUUAUUUAGUAAUAGAUCUUAUUAAAUUACAAAAUUAUAAAAAAAAAUAAUAAUUUAAUAUGUUUUCGAAAAUGAGUUCUUAGCAUCCAUGAGCUCUAAAAUAAUUAUUUUAGAGCAUGUUUCUUAAAUAAGCAUCCUUCACAUAAUUCAUUCAUCAUCUCCGAAAAGCAAUUCCCAUUUUUUUUUUCAACAAUUUUAAUUCAUCAAAAUUAAGAUAUCCAAAUCUUAAAUGUCAAAUCCAAAAGGAAUUAUCACACGAGAUUUUAGAUAUUUAUUAUUUUGUAUGUUUAACAAAAACAUUGCAUUUCUUGACAUAUUAUUAAUUACAUUUACAUGCUAUCUCUUACUAAAAGAGUCAUAUAAAUAUCAUAAUCUUUUUCUAAAAGCUAGUCCAAACUUAAUAUAUUAUUUGUCAUUUGGGCAAAUAACAAAUAAUGUUCGAGAUAAAUCGAUGCAUUCCAUUCUUAUUUUACCUUUGCCUUUUUAGAUACAUAAUAAUUCUUUCCCCACAAAAUGGACUUAACUUUGAAUAGUUUCCAAGAUGGGUGAGCCCAAAAAAAAGAGGCUAUUUGGACAAAUUCUAAAGCUGUGACCCAAAAGACUACGUUUUAAAAAAAAAAUUCACAAAGUACUCCCAUUUCUAAAAUAAUGUCCAAUCUAAUGUGUCUGUACCACGUAAAUUGUCACGUCAUAAAACCGUAGUUGGUAAUUAUGGUUUUAUUUUUUAAAAAUAGUCAAAACCGUAGUUACCAACCACGAUUUUAACUUUAAGUUUAAAACCGUAGUUGGUGAUUACGACUUUGAAUAUUUUUAAAAACAGUCAAAAGCCGUAAUCACCAACUACGACUUUAACUUUCCUUUAUCCUUUCCCCCUUUCCCGAUUAGGUUUAUUCAUUUUCCCAAUUACCUUUCUUCCCUUUAGUUUUUGUGUUUAUUUUCAUUUGCAUUAUAUUGUUAACUUUUUUUUUUUAUUAUUAUGAACAAAUUAUUAUAUAUUUAAAUGAAAAUAUGAUAAAUUUUAAACUUAAAUUGAACUUUUAUAUAUAUAUAUAUAUAUAUAUAUAUAUAUAUAUAUAUAUAUAUAGCAAUCUGACAAUCUAAAAAAUUGGUUUUAGGUUUAAAUUUAAACUAAUUAUAUUUAUAACUAAUUAGUUACAACAACACUAUAUUGAUAUAGAAAAAAUAAUGUAUUAAAAAAAUUUACAAUUUAAACCUCCAAUCAAAAUAAUUUUUUAAAAAUUAAAUAUUCACAUGAUUUAAAAUUUGAACUUAAAAAAUUGGUUUUAGGUUUAAAUUUAAAGUUAUGAUCACCAACUACUAUUUUGACUAUUUUUUAAAAAAAUUCAAAAAUCAUGAUUACCAAUUACAGUUUUGUGAUGUGAAUACCCACAUGAAUAAGACACACAUCACAUUGAAAAUUAUUUUGAGAAUAAAAUUAUUUUAUGAAUUUUCUGUUUUAAAGAAAUCAUUUUUGCCCAAAACUCCCAUUAGUACCCAAUAAGAAACAUUUUUCUUAUUAUCAAUGAAUUUACAAAAAUAUUCUAAAAGCAUUUUCAUCUAUUUACCAAAACAAUUAAACUAAAUAGUGAAUUGAUUGGAAAAAAAAAUGUAUUUUCUUUUUUACAAUUAUAUAUUUUAAGAAGUGGAAAAACAAAUUUUUUUAGGUUGGCAUUUUAAGUUUAACAUUUUAAGCCUUUCCAUUCCAUUUUGAUCCCAUUUUGAAAAGAGAAAAAUGGGAAAAAAAUUAUUUUUGUUGUAUUUAAGUAAUUUUCCAAUUAUUUACCCAUGAAGUCAUAUUAUAUUUUGAACAAGUGCAUAAUUGUCUUUAAUUUUUGCACAAAGUUACAAAAUAAUAUAAUAUUCUUUAUUAUGAGGGUAUAAAAUAGUAUAUUUAUAACUAAUUAUAUUUAUAUUGAGUGUAGUGCCAAAUAUUUUAAUAAAAUUAUCAAAAUAUAUUUUUAUAUUAAAUUAAAGACAUCAAUUAUUUAAUUUCAUAUAUUACUAUUCUGUAAAUAAUAAGAUCAAUUAAAGUUAAAUAUUUUUAUUACACCAUUUACAUAUUUUUAAUCAAUAUAAAAUCAAAAUAAUAUAAUAUUUUAUUUAAAAAAAUUAAACUUAAAUAUAUAUAUAUAUAUAUAUAUAUAUAAAAUUAAAGUUAAAGUCGUAGUUGGUGACUACGGUUUUAACUUUAAGUUUAAAAUCAUGAUUGAUGACACGGUUUUGAUUGUUUUUAAAAAGUAAAACCGUAAUUGGUAACUACGAUUUUAUGACAUGAUAAUUUACUUAGAGUAAACGCAUUAGAUUGGACAUUAUUUUGGAAAUAAGGGUACUUUAUAAAUUUUUUUUUUAAAACAUAGUAUUUUGGGUCAGCUCCAAAUUCUAAGGGUUGUUUGGGCUUGUCCAUUAAUUUGGGACAUGAAACCCACUAAAGGCUAAAGCCAGAACAAGACUAGUCUCAUCCAAGAAGGUAGAACAUAAAAAUAUAUUCCACACAAACCUUAUGGUAGAAGUUAAAAUAAAACUUUUGCUCAAUCACUCUUAAAUCUUACAAAAGCCUUAUAGUUUCAGGGUAAUAUUUCUUAGGAAGAUCAGUUUUCCCAUCUUCUCUACGCAUACAAUGAAGCUUCCAACCAGAAGAGAGAUACACCAAAGAAGAAGAAAAACAGAGCAGGAAGGCUUUCAUUCAUACUCAAAACUAGAAUAUUUGUAAAGAAAUCAUCAGCUUCUAUGUAGAAGCCAAUGACCCAAUAUCAUACCCUGACCAAAUUCACAGAAAUCCCAAUUAGACCAGCUUAUCGGCAAUUACCCACUCAGAAAUCACGGAGAUUUAAGCGAUCUUGACCUCAAUCGUCUUGGGCUUCUUGGGCUCCGGCGGUGGUACCUUCUCAACGGUGACGGUCAGUACUCCAUCUUGACAAACCGCGGAGAUCUUAUCAGUAUUCGCAUUCUCCGGCAACGCAAACUUCCUCAUAAAUUUGCCUACCCUCCUCUCCAUUCUCACGUACUUGACGCCUUCCUUCUCUUCCUCGCGCUUCCUCUCUCCGCUGAUCACCAGCACAUUGUCGUCCUCCACCUGAACCUUGAUGUCGCCGGACUUCAGCCCCGGCAUGUCGACGAUGAAGGUGUAGGAAUUCGGGUACUCCUUGACGUCAGCAGGCGUCGCCGCCAUGGCCUUGGCGUCGCGGACGUAGGUGCGAGUGGGGGCGCUGACGGACUUGUCGGAGUCAUCGGUGGCGUCUAGCAUGUGUUGGAGGGCAGAGAAGAGUGGAGAAUCGAAGCCCAUCAUCCUCGAAUCCAUGUUGGGUUCCAGAGAUUUGUUGGU
rnacentral:lncRNA from 1 species